CCUACGGUGGGCAGCAGUGAGGAAUAUUGGUCAAUGGUCGGGAGACUGAACCAGCCAAGCCGCGUGAGGGAUGAAGGUACAGAGUAUCGUAAACCUCUUUUGUCAGGGAACAAAGUCUUGCACGCGUCCCCUGAUGCGUGUACCUUAAGAAAAAGCAUCGGCUAACUCCGUGCCAGCAGCCGCGGUAAUACGGAGGAUGCGAGCGUUAUCCGAUUUUAUUGGGGUUACGGGGGGCGCGGGUGGGCCUUUAGGCCGGGGGUGAAAUCGGGGGCCUCACCCCCGCCGAGCCGUCGGAACUGGGAGCCUUGAGUACAGCAGAGGCGGGCGGAAUGCGCGGUGUAGCGGUGAAAUGCAUAGAUAUCGCGCAGAACCCCGAUUGCGAAGGCAGCGUGCCGGGCCGCAACUGACGCUGAGGCACGAAAGCGCGGGGAUCGAACAGGAUUAGAUACCCUAGUAGUC
rnacentral:rRNA from 1 species